AUGGCGCCCAUGGCCAGCCUUGAGAAGAUGGCGCCGGAGACCGAGGCAACCCCGGCGUUGCCGAUGUCGGCCUUUGUGAGGUUGAGGUUGUCGCGGAUGAUGGGGAUGAGCGGAGCGGCGGCGAAGGUGGAGACAACGCAGGUGAAGAAGGACAUCCAUCCGAGAUGGAAGGCACGCAUGUGUGGGUUGCCGAAGGAGAAUAUCUUGAUGCACAUGGCCUUGUGCUCGGAGUCCACCGGCAGCGAGAAGGUUAUGGGCGGUGUGGCGGCGGCGGCUGAGGAGCCCGCCUCCAUUUCCAUACCCUCUGGUGUGGAGGCCGGAAGGCUUCUACUUUCCUUGCUCCUUGGAGCUGAACUGAACAACUAA
rnacentral:rRNA from 1 species